rnacentral:piRNA from 1 species
UUUGUGGGCCCGUGGCAAUGCAGAAAACAUC